UCUUAUAGUUAAAUUAUAAUAUAAAAUUGCAAAUUUUAAGGUGAAUAUUAUUCUAAGGCUU
rnacentral:tRNA from 14 species